rnacentral:rRNA from 1 species
UUCCUACGGGGGGCAGCAGUGGGGAAUAUUGCACAAUGGGGGAAACCCUGAUGCAGCGACGCCGCGUGAGUGAAGAAGUAUUUCGGUAUGUAAAGCUCUGUCAGCAGGGAAGAAAAUGACGGUACCUGACCAAGAAGCCCCGGCUAGCUAAGUGCCAGCAGCCGCGGUAAUACGUAGGGGGCAAGCGUUAUCCGGAUUUACUGGGUGUAAAGGGAGCGUAGACGGCAGGGCAAGUCUGGAGUGAAAGGCGGGGGCUCAACCCCCGGACUGCUCUAGAAAUUGCCAGGCUGGCGUG